GAUGAACGCUGGCGGCGUGCUUAACACAUGCAAGUCGAACGAGAAGUGAAGACGGAAACCUUCGGGCGGAAGGCUUUAUUUCGAGUGGCGGACGGGUGAGUAACGCGUGGGUAACCUGCCUCAUACAGGGGGAUAACAGUUGGAAACGACUGUUAAUACCGCAUAAGACUACAGUACCGCAUGCUGCGGGGGUCAAAAAUCCGGUGGUAUGAGAUGGACCGGCGUUCGAUUAGCCAGUUGGCGGGGUAACGGCUCACCAAAGCGACGAUCGGUAGCUGACCUGGGAGGAUGACCGGCCACAUGGGGACGAGGAAACGGCCAAAACUCCUACGGGAGGCGGCAGAGGGGAAUAUUGCCAAAUGGGGGAAACCCUGAUGCAGCGACGCCGGGUAAGUGAAGAAGUAUUUGGGUAUGUAAAGCUCGAUCAGCAGGGAAGAAAAUGACGGUACCUGAGGAAGAAGCCCCGGCUAACUACGUG
rnacentral:rRNA from 1 species